GGAGUUGGAGUUUUCAUUUGUUUGCAAUUCGGGAGAUUGGUGAAUUCAUGUGUUUGCAGUUCGGGAGAUUGGUGAAUUCAUAUGGUUGCAGUUCGGGAGAUUGGUGAUUGCAGUAGCUGCCUGUUUAUCUGAAAAGGGGAAUAUCGCCUAAACGGUUUUUAACCUCUUGUGUGCAAAACGGUCCGUUACAAGGUGGCUCUCUCUAUACUGACUGCCAGGUGUAAAGGGAGGAGCUUAUAACAAUGAUUGACACGGAGCUAAGAUGGAGGUGGCUCUCUGUAUACUGACUGCCAGGUGUAAAGGGCGGAGCUUAUAACAAUGAUUGACAGGGAGCUAAGAUGGAGGUGGCUCUCCUUGUGUUGACUGCCAGGUGUAAAGGGCGGAGCUUAUAACAAUGAUUGACAGGGAGCUCCCAGUUACAGGAUAAAGAGAUAUGGAUCUAUAAAUGUAAUUUUGUUUUUCACUAGACA